rnacentral:rRNA from 1 species
AACAGGAUUAGAUACCCUGGUAGUCCACGCCGUAAACGAUGUCGACUUGGAGGUUGUGCCCUUGAGGCGUGGCUUCCGGAGCUAACGCGUUAAGUCGACCGCCUGGGGAGUACGGCCGCAAGGUUAAAACUCAAAUGAAUUGACGGGGGCCCGCACAAGCGGUGGAGCAUGUGGUUUAAUUCGAUGCAACGCGAAGAACCUUACCUGGUCUUGACAUCCACAGAACUUUCCAGAGAUGGAUUGGUGCCUUCGGGAACUGUGAGACAGGUGCUGCAUGGCUGUCGUCAGCUCGUGUUGUGAAAUGUUGGGUUAAGUCCCGCAACGAGCGCAACCCUUAUCUUUUGUUGCCAGCGGUCCGGCCGGGAACUCAAAGGAGACUGCCAGUGAUAAACUGGAGGAAGGUGGGGAUGACGUCAAGUCAUCAUGGCCCUUACGACCAGGGCUACACACGUGCUACAAUGGCGCAUACAAAGAGAAGCGACCUCGCGAGAGCAAGCGGACCUCAUAAAGUGCGUCGUAGUCCGGAUUGGAGUCUGCAACUCGACUCCAUGAAGUCGGAAUCGCUAGUAAUCGUGGAUCAGAAUGCCACGGUGAAUACGUUCCCGGGCCUUGUACACACCGCCCGUCACACCAUGGGAGUGGGUUGCAAAAGAAGUAGGUAGCUUAACCUUCGGGAGGGCGCUUACCACUUUGUGAUUCAUGACUGGGGUGAAGUCGUAACAAGGUAUC